GAGAGAGAGAGAGAGAGAGGGGGGGAGUGAUGGUGAGAAAGAGAGAGAGAGAGAUAUUCGCCUUGACUUUGCAAGUUUACUAUGCAACUUGUUUCGUCUCAGAUUGAAACAGGUUUAUUUCCUGGUUGAAGAUUUUCAUAUUGAUGAUUUUAUUUCCUGGUUGAAGAUUUUCAUAUUGAUGAUUUUAAUUUCAAACAUCUGCAUUUCUUUUAAGUUCAAUUAACAGUUAUGCAGGUAGGUCUUAGGGCUCUUUUGAGACUUAAGUCAUCCUUCAUGACAUAAAUUUGUUCACUAAGUGUCACUACGUCACAAAAAGGCUACAUGGCUACAUAUACUUGUCACUCAGUACACAUAUACUGAGUACAUGUUCUGUUUGCUGUUUCUUGCAGGUCAUGAAUUUGGUGAGGAGUGUAGCUGGCUGGCUGCGGACGAGGAAGUAGGGCAAUAUAUAUAUUGCCCUAAAUAUAACUAUAAAUAGAGAAUUUAUAUUUUUUGUUUUUAUCCAUAGCUGAGUGAAAAAGUCUAAUGUCUAAUAUGAGAAUGCAUAUCUGUUCAGACCUGUAAUUCAUGUCUUAGACUUUUUCUCGCAGCUACAGAUAAAAAAAUAAAAUUCUCUAUGGUUUCACAAUGUCAGUCACAGUUGAAACAAAUGAGUUUCAGCUCUAAUGCUGCUACUGUCUGUAAUAUGAUUCUAUUUAGAUUAUUUGUCAGGAUAUUUUGUUAUUAUUGUCCGAGUCUGGUUUUAACUAAUGCUGGGCUUACACCAAAAGAUUUUCACAUUCACAGACUAAAAGCUGCAACAGAGAAUUUAGCGUUGGAUCAAGUGUGAUAUUUAACCAGGGUUUUGUAGAUAUGGGGGUUGGAGAUGCAGCGACCACAGGAUGUCUGUUAACUUCCUGUUCAGGUUUCACACCUUUCAGCACAAGAGACACAAACUUGAAAAACAAAAACAAAAAAAAGCAACAACUGCUAUUUGCAGAGCUGUACUAUUAUCCGGAUGUAUGUACUUGAUUAAAUUGUUUUAAUAAAGUACAUACAGGGUUCUUCCCGUUCGUCUCGUCCAACCCCUAGUGCUGAUAAUUUAGUGGGCUGGUCAGGACAGAAAAUGCCAGGGCUGAAUUUU
ensembl:lncRNA